rnacentral:rRNA from 1 species
UACGGAGGAUGCGAGCGUUAUCCGGAUUUAUUGGGUUUAAAGGGUGCGUAGGCGGAUUUUUAAGUCAGCGGUAAAAUGUCCGGGCUCGACCCGGGCCGGCCGUUGAAACUGGGGAUCUUGAGUGGGCGAGAAGUAUGCGGAAUGCGUGGUGUAGCGGUGAAAUGCAUAGAUAUCACGCAGGACUCCGAUUGCGAAGGCAGCAUACCGGCGCCCGACUGACGCUGAGGCACGAAAGCGUGGGGAUCGAACAGG